rnacentral:tRNA from 1 species
GAAAUAUGAUGAUUCAAGUAAAAGCUGCUAACUUUUAACUUCAGCGGUUUAAAUCCGUUUAUAUUUCU